ensembl:lncRNA
CUGCCAUAUUUUCCACUGUACAGUUCUUCCUUCUUUCUAUUUGUGUUACCAAGCUCAUGGACUGUGGUAGAGAUAUGGAGAUGGUUUUAUUAGCAUGUGUUUUUUUGGUUUGUUUUGUUGUUGUUUUUUUCUCAGUGUCUAAGUCUCAGCUGGGACAGAGCUGAUUUUUGUCAUGGUAUGACGCUAUGUUCAGAUUACUCAGAAAAAACAAUGUGGAUAACACAUUUAUGUUUGAAGUUGUUGCUAAGCAGCGCUGCACAGAGUCAAGGCCAUUUCAGCUUCUCUGACUGCUCUGCCAGUGAAGGAGCUGGGGUUGCACAAGCAGGCAAGGAAGCCCUGAACUUCUUUUUUCACUAUGUGGGGAAAAAAGUGAUUGAUUCUGACAAAUAGCCAUUUUUCACUGCCAUCGCUGGGAUGCCAGCAGGUAGGCAUGUCCAGCUGUGAGUUCAAUAACCCACUAAGUUCCUGCUUUAAAUCUAAUGUGUGUUUUUUGUUUGUUUGUUUGUUUGUUUUUCCCUGCUAAAACAAAGAAUCCUUGUAGCAAGGACCACUACUGCUUAUCUUAUCUCAAAUACCCACCACUGCUAUAAUCCCUCUGUCACUUCUGAGUUUUACACAGUGAUUAACAUUUGCUAUUUGUCAAUUUGUUAUUUGUAUGAAAUUAAAAAUAAAUGGAGCAAUGCAAUUAUUAAGAGUCAGGAUUGGCUGCAAAGUGCUUGUAUUCUGAAUUCCUUUAGAGUUGAAGAGAAAUAAAAGCACUUGGUACUAGGACUAAGGCUGAGCUUUAUGAGCACAAAUUCAAUGCCUAAUUCAGUGAAU